AGAAUCAACGCUGGCGGUGUGCCUAACACAUGCAAGUCGAACGAGAAAGUGGAGCAAUCCAUGAGUAAAGUGGCGCACGGGUGAGUAACACGUGACUAACCUACCCUUGAGUGGGGGAUAACCUAGGGAAACCUGGGCUAAUACCGCAUAAUACCUACGGGUCAAAGGAGCAAUUCGCUUUAGGAGGGGGUCGCGGCAGAUUAGUUAGUUGGCGGGGUAAUGGCCCACCAAGACAGUGAUCUGUAUCCGGCCUGAGAGGGCGCACGGACACACUGGAACUGAAACACGGUCCAGACUCCUACGGGAGGCAGCAGUGGGAAUUUUGCGCAAUGGGGGAAACCCUAACGCAGCAACGCCGCGUGGAGGAUGAAGCCCCUUGGGGCGUAAACUCCUUUCGAUCGGAAGAUAAUGACGGUACCGGAAGAAGAAGCCCGGCUAACUUCGUGCCAGCAGCCGC
rnacentral:rRNA from 1 species